CCGCCGUCACUAAACAUUUCAUCGAGAAUCACUACAAGAACUACCUCCAAGGGUUACAGGAUCGUAAAGAAAGGCGGCGAGAAAUGCAGAGGAAAGCGCAAGAAGCGAAGGUGUCGAGUGAAGAAGAAGAGGAGAUGAUGAGGGAAUUGGAACACAAAGAGACGGAGUUGAUGAGAUUGCAGAGGCACAAAAUGGGAAUUGAUGACUUUGAGCAAUUGAUUGCGAUUGGUAAAGGUUUGGCUAUGCCGUGCCAAAAGUACAGGAGAGAUUUUUGCAAUGAAGAAAUUGAAGAAAUCAGAUAUGCUUAGCCGUGGACAGGUUGAGCAUGUUCGAUCAGAGAGGAAUUUGCUAGCGGAGGUUGAUAGCCGGUGCAUCGCGAAACUCUUCUAUUCUUUCCAAGAUUCUUAUUUUUUAUACCUUAUCAUGGAGUACCUACCUGGUGGUGAUAUUAUGACGUUACUGAUGAGAGAGGAUGUUCUUUCUGAAGAUGUCGCACGAUUUUAUAUAGCAGAAAGUGUUCUAGCUAUUCAUUCAAUUCACCACCACAACUAUGUGCAAAUGUAUUGUAGUAUUGCAAUGGGUUUUGUUUUUUUGCAUCUUUAUUUUUUUUACCCAAACCAUUCAAGUGAAAUUCUAUCUACUUUUUCCCUAAAAAGAGUGUCAAAUUACUUUAGUGUCUAUAAAGUUUUUUAGUAAUGCUUGAUUUAGUAAUUCGUGUCUUUAGAGUGCAUCAUUGAAUGUAAUUAUGCAAAUUUCAAUUACAUAUUGUUAUUUAUCAAACCUAUUGCAAGCACCAAGAAAAACCACUUAGAAAAACCAGUAAAUCUCUUAGAAAACCACUCCAAUGCUGCCCAUACACUAGCACAGAACUAAACUAAACCACCUUCUUCCAAUAAAAGCAUCUUCAACUCAAAUUCAAAAACAAAAACUUUCAAACGCAGUUCAAUCCUGACUAAUUAGGAGAAACACUAUUUCAAUUUGUUAUCAUGUAGCCGGUUUCAUAUUACAAAUGGUUUUAGGUAGUGAUCCCCUACAUUAGUGCAUAUUUCAGAAACAUUGUGAGGAAAACAAAAUCAUAAAUAUCAAUGUUUACAUUUCUGUAGAACACUAAAAAGUAUUUAGAAACAUUAGUGAAAUAGAUUUUGGUGAUCUGUUAUGGUGUAUGUAAACAAUGUGUUCCCUUACAGAUAUUGUAACAAGGACACAUAAGGCCGUGCCCAACAUCAAUAUUUAACAAAUUAACAGAAUCAAUUAAUUGCACAUAAAGAUUUCACAAAAUGAAAAACAGAAGAGAGAUAAAAUGUAAUGCCCAACCUAAUGUUUAACAUGAAUAUUUUUCUAGAAUUAGAGAUCACUGCUUAUAGUUGUUGGAUCAAUAAUGUUAACAGAUGAACAAUACAUUUAAAUAUGCAUAGUUUAUCAUCGUUGAUAUUUUAUGAUUUUAGAAGUCAUUCUUGGGAUUGAAGAAGUUUGCUUAAAAACACUCCUUGAUGCUAUUUACUGCAUUCUGGAAUUGUCAUCAUUAUUUGAACCAGCAAAUCUGUUAUAGAUGCACAACAUUGUUUAUUCAAACCUAAUUAAUUACAUGAUAUAUAAAAUAGAUAAAGUACUUAAUGUAGAAGGGCAUUUGGUCUAGUGGCAUGAUUCUUGCUUAGGGUGCAAGAGGUCCCAAGUUCAAUUCUCGGAAUGCCCCUUUUUGAUUAAGUUUUUUUCUUUUUCUUUC